rnacentral:rRNA from 1 species
GACGAACGCUGGCGGCGUGCUUAACACAUGCAAGUUGUGCGACGAUGCAUGAAGUAGCAAUACGGAGUGUAUACGGAGCAGCGGACGGGUGAGUACAACAUGAGAAUCUGUCCUUCAGCGGGGGACAACGUUUGGAAACGGACGCUGAUACCCCAUAGGCCUACGGGUUAAAGCAGAGAUGCGCUGGAGGAGGGGCUCGUGUCCUAUCAGCUUGAUGGUGAGGUAACGGCUCACCAUGGCGAUGACGGGUAGCCGGCCUGAGAGGGUGACCGGCCACACUGGAACUGAGAAACGGUCCAGACUCCUACGGGAGGCAGCAGUGGGGAAUAUUGGGCAAUGGGAGAAAUCCUGACCCAGCAACGCCGCGUGAACGAAGAAGGCCCUUGGGUCGUAAAGUUCUUUUAUACGGGAAGAAGGAAGUGACGGUACCGUAUGAAUAAGCCCCGGCUAACUACGUGCCAGCCGCCGCAGUAA